rnacentral:rRNA from 1 species
AGAGUUUCCAUCCUGGUCAGGAACGAACGCUGGCGCGUGCCUGAUACAUCCAGUAGAACGCUGAAGACUUUAGUCUUGCUAGAGUUGGAAGAGUUGCGAAACGGGUGAGUAACCCGUAGGUAACCUGCCUACUAGCGGGGGAUAACUAUUGGAAACGAUAGCUAAUCCCAGCAUAACAGUGUUUCAACACAUCUUAGAGUGCUUGAAACGAUGCAAUUGCAUCACUAGUAGAUGGACCUGCGUUGUAUUAGCUAGUUGGUGGGUAACGGCCUACCAAGGCGACGAUACAUAGCCGACCUGAGAGGGUGAUCGGCCACUACUGGGACUGAGACACGGCCCAGACUCUACAGGGAGGCAGCAGUAGGGAAUCUUCGGCAAUGGGGGCAACCCUGACCGAGCAACGCCGCGUGAGUGAAGAAGGUUUUCGGAUCGUAAAGCUCUGUUGUAAGAGAAGAACGUGUGUGAGAGUGGAAAGUUCACACAGUGACGGUUAAUUUACACAGAAAGGGACGGCUAAUACGUGCCAGCAGCCGCGGUAAU